GACAUCUCUCUCACACACACGUACGACACGGACGUACAUACGGAGAGAUUUUUUAUUCAGUAUACGACGUAGCAGUAUAUAUAGUAGACAACUCAUCAUCACCCGUAGAUAGAUAGAGACUCAAGCAUGGUCGUCGUCGAUGCUCCGGCGCCGACGACGGCGGCGGAAUGGAUCAUCGAUCGACGAUCAUCAGGUCGUCGUUUCGGUUUAGCUCACCCUGGAGCAGUCGGUGGAGGUGCUGAUGGUGUAGGGGAUGCUGACGCCGCACUUGGAGGGGAUGCUGGCGGCCUUGCCGACGUUGAGGCCGCGGAUGCCACGGGCGGCGUUCUUGAGGCAGUUGCAGGCGGCGCGCCUGUCGGCGGUGGUGCGGGCGGCGGAGUUGAGGCUCCUGACGCCGCUGCAGCAGCCUGCGGAGGGUCCAGAGCCCUGGCCGCGGGCGUAGGACAGGCAGGGCCCGAUGGCGGAGCUCACCUGACCGCAUGUCACGGCGGCCUCCGAGGUCGUCGCCGCCAGCACCACCGCCGCCACGACGGCGAUCGCCACAGCAAGCUUCAUGCUGCGAGCCAUGUCGAUCUCGAUCGACCUCCUGUGAUAUAUGUGCUGAUGCUCGUAGGUGACUGAUAGCUUUUGGGAUGCAGUGAGUGAGCAAGUGCUAGCUGGUGAGGAGAUUGCAAUGGAAUGUUGCUCCUUAAAUAGGCAGGCUUUGUGAUCGAUGUGUGAGCUAGCUAGCGAUUGCUGAUGAGUGAUGUGCAUGCAUGGGAUGGGUGUGCAUGCUGUUUCAGUCGGUGGAUGCAUGCAUAUGCGUAUAUGUCCAUGGAUCGAUGGUAUCUCUCGCCAUGCAUCGAAGUUAACUGCUGGGGAGGAGGUGGUUGGGUGUUGAGGGAGGAGGGCAGAUGCUUGUUUAGUUGUUGUAAUACCCGAUUUUAAGGACAAAACCAGAUAUGCACCAUAUGUGAGUUUUAAAAGCCAAAUCUCACAUAUAGCUACAAAUAAGGGGUAAUAUCAAAAGACAAUGCAAAAAUUAUAUAACGUACAUAAUAUAAAAGAGAUAACCUUUGAUAGCAAACAACGGAUAGACAACUCCAAACUCCGGGUAUUAACUUCUCUCUACAGGAUCCAACUGACUGGUUGAUCACAAGCCUAAACUUCUCCUGAGGUUUGGGGGAAAUAGCAAGAGUGAGUCCAUGUCAAACUCCACAAGUAUAGCAACUAGAUUGUAUAGCUCCCACAAUCUCAUGAUCAAUGUGACAUAAAUAAUGUAAAGCAUUAAACAAUAAGCAAUGAGCAUAUUUAACACACAAGAUUCAUCACCCUUAAUGUAGAUGUCCCCAAGGCCGUUCCUGACCGUGAGCUCGGCUAGUAUACUAGUUUUAACACUCUGCAGAGGUUGCACAUCUUUACCCAUGAGUCAUGAUUUACCCUUUCGCCCGAGGUGAUCAGCCUCUUAACCCACUUCCAAGGAAGGUCGGCAGGGAUCACUAUGAAGCCUUUCAAAAGUUCGUCUAACAUGUUAGGGCCGCAAGGUUUCCUUUGCGAGCAGAUAUAGAUACCCCCCUUCCGAAUGGCACAAUGACGCGCAGCCUAUACACAUAGGGACAGGGGCUCGCACUAUACCCGUGUCGGUUCAGCCCCUCCGCCCUUUCGGGUAACCUCUAACAAGCUAGAAAAGGUCUUCAUACUGAGCUAAAGCCAGAGCCAUUAUAGCCCUCAUGGUUGCACUGUUAUCCCGGGUGAUCACGUACAGACAAAUCAUCAAGUUGUUAAAAAGUCAUUUUUACCAUUUAUUACUUAACAUUAAUCUAGUCACAGGAUCAUGGUCACAGAAAUAAAAUCCAAAUGCUAUACUUGCCUCAAUCCAAUUGCUCUUGCUUAUCCUUUUGGUCCUGCUGGUCUCACUUGUUGCCAAAGCUUUGAUCUUGAUCACCGAAACUGCUCUCCGUCUAAACUCGAUCAUCGAUCAUCAACACACAAACAAUCGGACACAACAUACACGUAGCAAACAAGGCUAUAAUUAGAACAGUACACCAAUCAUAUAAAAACAAUAUGAAAAAUUUGUAAAAUAAUUCUACGCAUCGCUACGAUCUCACAGACGUAAAGAUGACGAAAAUCGGAGUUAAAACGGAAAAGAUAUGGAUUUUCUAAGAUUUUAUAUAGAAAAGUAAUUAAUUAAUUAAGGUCACGAAAUUAAAAGGUUUCAAACUGAGUGAACAAUAUUACUAACAUGUAGUGCUCGUGAUUACGAACCUAACACAAUUUCAAUGGACAAAACGGAGUUAAAACAGAGAUGAUAUGGCCUAAAUAAACUAGCGUAUUUUCUUUGUAUUUUUAGGUUUGUUUUUCUAAAGGAAAACGGCAAUAAAACAUGUCUAUGUUAUAACGACGUCAUCAAGCUAGCCAGCAACGUUUAUUCGCAGAUAUAUGUUAGACAUGUACAUCCCUAGAUCGAUUGCUGCGCAGAUAGAAACAUCGCCGGGCGAAACAAAUCAGUGCAUGCACUUGUAGAGGCUUUGUGAAAUUUCUCACACAGGAAUCGACAUAUUAAAGAUGCAAAGUUACCUCUUAUGGUGAUUAUAAGAUUCAAUAGGACAUGCUUGCCGAACGAUGGGUCAGUGGCCACGUCGUCAAGAACAGGUUGAUCUACGGCAACACCUUCUACUCCCGUGCUCUGUUGCUUGCUACUCUUCACGUGGCCAGCGAUUUGGUCUUCUGCUUCUUUGGUCCACAAUCACGAUGGUUCACCGGAACAUGGCAAGCAGCUCUGGCAAGCAGGACGUGGCAAGAGCAGAGCGGCGGCCGUAACAUGGCAAGGGCAGCAUCUAUCUAGGCAUGGCCGACGGCGGCGGCUCUCAAGGGUUUUAAGGACGUAAACACUCUAGACGAAUAUGACGUGUAUAUAUACGUGCGGUCUAGAUCAAGUUUGAUUAGGGUUAGAACUUAUUAUUUUUGGAAUUAAUUAUUUUCAUGGAUAAAAUAAUUAUAGAAAAGUCCAGAAUUAUUAUUUAAACUAUGAAAAAUAUUCUAAAAGCUCUGAAAAUUCGGAGAAAAUUCUCAGAGACAUUAUGGAAUAUGAGGAACUCAAAUAACGUAUUUGGACCUCAUGAUAAGAUAAUUUGGAGCAUCUAAAAAUUAGAUUUAUGCUCAUAGAAAAGUGAGAAUAGAAGAUGGAAAAAUUCCCGAAAAGUUUGUAGAGAUUGCUUGAUGGACGAGGAACUAAAAGAAGUGCUUUGAGUGACAAAGAAAAGAUUUUAGGAAGCUCCUAAUAAAAAAUUGAGCUGAGAAACCAAAGAAUUUGGUUAUAGAUAAAGAUAAAGACGUACUGGUCAAGGAAGAUCUACUAAACGCAUUUUAAAACUUUGCUCACUCAACACAUAAAGGAGCAACAAGUCAACAUCACAUCAAAACAUAUGCACCAGCAUGUAUGCACAACAAUAUUGCUAAGGCUUAUGAUAAAUUUUAAUUUAAUGAAAAUUAUUAUUUUCCUUAUAUUUUCGUGAGCACAAAAUACAAAACUGAAUAAAUUUUCAUCUAUUUUGAAAAGAGCAAAAUUUAGGGUGUUACAGUUGUCAAAAUUUUUUAAAAUUCUCAAUCAAAUUAAAUCUUGGGACACAAUGUAUCAAAUAUUAAAUAUAGAUAAAAAUUAAUUAAUUAUAUAGUUUGUAUAUAAUUUGCGAGAUAAAUUUUGUAAACCUAGUUAAUCUAUAAUUAAACAAAAAUUAUUAAAUAUAAACGGUGCUAUAGUAACUAGAUCCAAAAAUUUUCACCAACUAAGGGCUUGUACAACGAUGGGCGCUUAUGAUCAGGUAUUGGCCGUUAAAUAGUUUUUUUGCCACACGGUGGAGUCCUGAGCGGGCGCUUAAAAAUAGAUUUGCCGCUCCGUAAAGCAUCGACGCCUAGACCGGCUCCUUGCUUGAUACUGGUGUUUGCAUGCGACGUAACGGUCACAACUUAAGCGCCUUCAAAUACGUGUUGUGUUGUAGAUUAAGGUUAUAAAGAGACGCUUAGUUACAAAAGUAUUUUCUCUUUCCAUCUAAGCGCCUUUUGCAUUGUACGUGCUCUAAACAAGGCCACAGAUACAGACAUACAGUGGUUAGCUGAGGCAGAGUGAAAUCAUUAGCAGCAAACAUAUAAUAAAUAGCAGCCGCCUAGCACGACUUAGCGCCACUUAAGUUUUGUUUAGUUACGCUCGAAAUCCAAAAACUUUUCAAGGUUCUCUUCACGUCGAAUUUAGAGACACAUACAUGUAGCACGACUUAGCGCCACUUAAGUUUUGUUUAGUUACACUCGAAAUCCAAAAACUUUUCAAAGUUCCCUUCACGUCGAAUUUAGAGACACAUACAUGAAGCAUUAAAUAUAAAUAAAAAAAUAACUAAUUACAUAAUUUAUCUGUAAUUUGAGAGACGAAGCUUUUGAGUCUAGUUAGUCUAUAGUUGAACAAUAAUUAUCAAAUAUAAAAAAAAAUGUUAUAGUACCAAAAAAAUCUUUUCACUCACGAACUAAAUAAAGGCCCUAAUCUCAUCAUCCGCCUCACUGUUUAAUCGAAUGUCCUUGAUGGCCACCCACAGGCUCACAAAACCUGAGACGGUGAGACCUUGCCUGGGGUAGUAUAUGGGGCCAAUGGCCAAUCCAUUUAUCAGUUUGCCCAAGGCAGGUGGUGGGCCACUCUGUUCAAUUUUGAGUCUAAUAUAUGCAAUAUCUUCUCUUUUGUGCAAUUUUUGUCCGUGGGUUCAAACAAUCCUGCCACCGUGUCACCGGUGGCUGAUCGUGUCAACCCUUCGCCGCAGUCCGCUCCACCACAGUACGGGGGGCCCAGUUGCAGUCUCUGCCACCGCAGUAGGGAUGUUGAACUUGUAAUAAUAAAUAUGUGAGUGCUUUUAAUAUAUAAUGCAUGUUGGUGAUAUAGAUGUGAUAAUUGGCGUGUGUGUAUAUAUAUUGUCUGUUACAAUGGAAUGUAAAAAAUAAAACAAAUACAAUUCUCGGGGUCUUCGCCGAGUGCGGUGCCAGGGUCACUUGGCAAAGCAAUUUAAAAAAACAAUUUUGCCGAGUGUCGGGGCCACGACCACUCGGCAAAGAAUUUUUCUUUAAAAAAGAAAAGACACUUUGCCGAGUGCUGAUGCUAGGGGCACUAGGCAAAGUAUUUUUAAAAAAAACAAAUAUGCGGAGUGCCGCGGCAAGGGACACUCAGCAAAUAUUUUUUUUUUAAAAAAAAAGAAAGAAAAUCUUUGUCGAGUGCCUGAGGCCAGAGGCACUUGGCAAAGCAAUUUUUUUUAAAAAAACUUUGCCGAGUGUUAAGGGGCCAGGGGCACACGGUAAAAUAUUUUUUAAAAAACAAAAACUUUGUCGAGUGUCGUGUCGGGCAACUCGGCAAAAUAACUGUUAACGGCAGAUGCUGUGACGGCCAAAAAUGUUGCCGAGUGCUGUCGUAAGCACUCAGUAAAAUGUUUUUAAUAUUUUGCUAAGUGCCUCGGUAAAAAGCACUCAGCAAAGUCUCUUUGUCGAAAAUUUUUUUGCCGAGCGAACUUUGCUGAGUGCUACGUUCGGCAAAGCCUUUGCCGAGUGCAAAGGGCUCUUUGUCGAAUGUAAAAACACUCGGCAAAGUCCUAAUUUCCAGUGGUGGGUGUGCUGGGACAAUUUAGAAAGCAAGCAACGAUUUCAUUUUGCGUUAGAUCACUCCCAUCCUCGAAGCCUCAGUUUUUUUUUUCAGAAAUAAGUUCCAGCUGUUGCUGCUGAGAACUAAAAGAAGCUUUUCACCCUUGAUUGAUCAAUGGAUUGGCUCUCUAGUUUAACAGGCUUCUUUGUUGUACUCUUUUUGCUCUUUUUUCCUUAGUUUUUUUGUUCCUUAGUUAAGACUCCACCCUACUGCCUCCUUAACUGUUGUGCUUUUUUUUUUGUAAAAGACCUUUUUUAUUAUAAUUUUUGCAUUGUUGUAGGGGUGCAAACCCCUCCAAUCUCCUUCAAAAAAUUCAAAAGUAAUAUAACCUUGCAGAACAAAGGACGGUAAUCCCACCAUUUUGCUAUGUGAGCCCACUCCUCUUAUUUUUUUUACUUUUAUUUUGAUUAUGCCCACUCCUGUUAAGCAGUCAUUUGUUCCAUUCCCUAAAUAUAUUUCUAUUUUUUAGAAUAUUCAAUAAGGCGUAUAUACAUUAUAUUUUAAGAAAUAAACUAUAUUCAAGACAAAUCUACCCACAUCAAUAUUACUUGUAUACAUUCAAAUAAACAUGUAGACAUAAUAAUUCGAUAGUUAAGGUUUCAAAAUGAUUGAAAUAAGACAACUUGAAAUAUGUCACAAUAAAAAAUUAUUUGUGGUCAAAGUUUCUGAAAUUAUUGACUUACGACAACGUACAUCCAAGUGUCACUUAAUUGCUUUGUGAGCAGAGGGAGUAUAUAUUUUGGCAAGUUACCCUCCAUCUAAAAAUAUAAAACACAUGUUUUUAGGACAGUAAGAUUUGACCAAUAGGUGCUUGUGCCAUUAAUAUGCAUAAAUCAUAGAUACUUUUGAAUACAAAUAUCUAGUUACAUCAAUUUGCUACCACAAAAUUGCAAGUAUCUUGGUUAAAGCCAUGUCUAACAAAACAUGAGCUUUGGGAUGGAUAUAUAUCAUAUUGGUGUGUACGUUUAGUAGUCUCUCUUCGUUUCAAUUUAUUAGAUGUUGUUUUGGCUUUUGUAGAUACAAAAAUUUUUUUAUGUAUCUAGAUAACGUUUAUUAUGAUAUAGAUAUAUCGUAUAUCUAUAUGCCUAAAAAACUGAAUAUCUAGAAAAACUAAAAUAACCUAUAAUUUAGGAUAGAGGGUGGUAAUAAUUAUACAUCUUCUGCUACCAAGUCCCUUAAUUACAGCACACAGCUCUGUUUUCUAGUUGCCUUGAUCGUUCAUCAGAUGAAUUAUGUAUUUGAAGAGUAGCGCGUGUGUGGUCAUGUCAUGAAAACGUGCUAGCUAGGUACUUGUUUUAAUUUCCACCGUGUGAGUAUUUUUUUUUUUCAAGUGGCGAGAGUUCAUUAAUUAAAUAAAACCAUUCAAUUUUUCAAAUCACAAUACGUUGUCUGCAAAUCCUCUGAGUCAGCCAGUUUUUCGUUACGUGCUAUACUCCGUCCAUUCUAAAUUAUGUUUUUUAAACUUUUUGGUAUAUUCAUUUUGCUACAUACUAAAAAAAUUAAAAAUAACUUAUAAUUUAGAACAGAAGAGGUAUAUAUAUAGUUGCAUAUAUGCUGACAAGUGUUUGGGGGAGAAUAGAGCAGUAACUCUCUUGACCAAGCGUUUGGGAGUCAUGGAACACAGUCACAUGGCGCAUGCAUGCGUAACAACAAUUUGGAAACAAAGAGAUGUGUGUGUGCAUGUAGCAGUGAUCGAACUAGUACAAACCACAGGAGCGAGAGGAAACGUACACGGACAUAAAUAAUAAACACCGCACAUAGUGCAUGCACUCAAAAAUAAACCCAACAAGCAAAAGUACAUCUCUCACACACACAUGUACACACGCACGUACGUACAUACGCUAAGAUGCAAGCGUAUCACAGCGUACACGACGACACGUACGUACAUACGGAGAGAUUUUUAUUCAGUAGUACGACGUAGCAGUAGUAGACAACUCAUCAUCUCAUCAUAUCAGGCGUAGAUAGAUACUCAUCCAUGGUCGAUGCUCCGGCGCCGAUCGACGACGACGGCGGCGGCGGCGGAAUGGAUCAUCGAUCGAUCGAUCAUCGUUUAGGUUUAGUUCACCCUGCAUGAUCAUGCAUGCAUGGAAGACGAAGCACAAGUUAAUUAAACGACUUGAUAUUCAAGUUGAAUCAGACCAUGCAUGCAUGCAAAGUUGCAAACAACUUGUAGUGAUUGGAUCAUUCAUUCAGAUCAUCACUUAAUUACCUGGAGCAGUCGGUGGAGGUGCUGAUGGUGUAGGGGACGCUGACGCCGCACUUGGAGGGGAUGCUGGCGGCGUUGCCGGCGUUGAGGCCGCUGAUGCCACGGGCGGCGUUCUUGAGGCAGUUGCAGGCGGCGCGCCUGUCGGCGGUGGUGCGGGCGGCGGAGUUGAGGCUCCUGACGCCGCUGCAGCAGCCUGCUGAGGGUGCGGAGCCCUGGCCCCGGGCGUAGGACAGGCAGGGCGCGAUGGCCGAGCUCACCUGCCCGCAGGAGAUGGCCGCCUCCGAGGUCGUCGCCGCCAGCACCACCACCGCCGCCGCCGCCACCACGGCGAUCGCCACAGCAAGCCGAGCCAUGUCGUCGAUGUUCUGGGGGUGUCUGAGACUUGCUUGUACUAGCUUUGGAAUGCAAGUGAGCAAGUGCUAGCCGCUGGUGAGGAGAGUGAGAUGGAGUGUGGCUCCUUAAAUAGGCAGGCUUGCGAUCGAUCUGAUCUGAUCUGAUCUGGGAGCUAGCUACAGUAGCUUGUCAUUGCUGAUGACAGAUGUGCAUGCAUGCACGGUGUUGUUGCAUUGCAUGCAGUUUCAGGCAGGCAGUCGGUGGAAUGGUGGAUGCAUGCAUAUGAAUGAAUGAAUAUGGUGGAUGUUCCAACAUCAUCUUCCAUGGACGACGGACGGUAUCGUCGCCAUCCGUCGAAGUUAAUUGCUGGGCAGGAGGUGGUUGGGUGUUGGGAGCAGGAGGCAGAUAGAUACAGAUAAUACUACAGCGGUUAGUUGAUGAGGGCAUGAUCGAGGCAGAGUGAAUUCAUUUGCAGCAGCAAUAGCAACUUAUUAGGGUAUGUUAUACUAUAACACUUUCGUUUAUAUUUAGCAAUAAAUAUUUAAUUAUAGACUAACUAGACUCAACAAGUACUUUAUCUCGCGAUUUACAUAUACAAACUAUGUAGUUAAUUAUUUUUUUUUUAUUUAUAUAUAUUUUAUGUUUCGUACAUGCGUCUAAAGAUUCGAUGCGACGAGAAAUCUUAUAAACAUUUAGAAUUUUAAAGACAUUUAAACACGCCCUUAAAUAGCAGCCGCCUAACACGACUUAGCAGGCAGGGUGAUGGCGGCAGUCGGCAGGGACGGACGUACGUGGCUCUCAUCUGAUGAAGUUGGAGGCGUAUUCACUCUCUCUCACUAGUGUGUCAGUGUGAGGUAGUUUGCAGUUGGAUCCGAGUGCUUAUCGCACAAUAAACACAUACUCUUCCUGCAUUAAGACGUCAAUUAUAUAUGGAUCGUCCAUCAUCCAUGAAUCCUUCCAGUAGUCUUCGUUAAUUCCUCCCGGCCGCAACCAGAAACAGAGAUAUCAGUACAGUGCAGGAGGUUACAUGCACAUUCACAAAUUGAAGUUGCAGCAGUGGUAGCGAUUAAGUUGUCCAGCAAGUAUGGGAGCCCACAUGUCGCUGUCUCGAUCGGAAGCUCCGCCACGUAUUACAUACAUGCAUCCCGUCCCCAACCUAGCUAGCUACCUCUGUGUGCACAGGCAGGUACCACCGACGGUUUCCCAAAACUCGUAUGUGUCCGACCCUCAAAAACAAAUCUCUCAAUUUUUGUUCAAAACAAACAAAUUUUUUAAAAUUUUAGAUUCAAAAACAAACAACUUUUGACCAUCAAAGAAAAAUACUGCUCUACCUCGAUCCGUUCUAAAAAGAACUUGGGAUUAUAUUCUAGAAAGUAACAGAUAGAUUCGUGUGUAAUGUUUAGAGAUGAGAUCUUGUAUGAAAAGAUUGGUUGAUGCGUAUAGAGCAACUUCAACCAAACUUCUAAAUGAACCUCUACCUUUUUAUAUAAAGGGGCUAAAACUCAAAUAUACUCUCGAACUGAUCCGGUCCCGACGGAGAGGGGCUCCCAUUUAUCUUUCCUCUAGAUGUAUGAGGCGGUGUUUCGGAUGGUUUGAUUCAAUUCCUUGCAGCUGCUAUUCAAUGAUGUCUUAACUGUAGCUCAUUUCUACCACUCUUAAUUAUGUAUGGCGAAGAGAAGAUUAAGCUCCCAAUCGAGUCCGAGUUGGAGGAUUUCGGUGCAACGUGGAGUUUGAUCUCUGCAUGGAUCGUUAAAUCUAAGUUGAGGUCAAUGUUUGUACUACAGAUCAUAGUACAUUGUGGUUGCCCUUGUUUGUAUGAGAUCUAGUGUAGAAUUUGUUGAUACUUUGUUGGCUACACAUUUGAUGGUUCCUUUCACUUAGGUUUCUUGGAUGAGCAGUUGUAAAUGCCAUUGCUUUCAUUAGUCGGCAGUUUGGUGCGCAUAGUGGUGUUCACAUGUGCUAGUUGCUCAUUUAGUGAUUGUGGUUCCUGAAUUAUGUGUUUGAGGUGGAGCACAUUUAGAAAGUAUGGAUUUGCAUUCUUCACUAUCUGUUCAAUUAAUGCCUUAGGUGAUUUCUUCGCAUACCCUUUCGUGAUCGAGCAAUUUGUUCAGACUUGGGUUAGAAGGCAGUAGCACAUGCUCAAACAUUUGCUGCGGUUAGAAUUUGUCGAAGACUCAGUUUUGUUCAUCUGAAUUUGGUGAGACACGAUUUGAACUUCCUAGUUAUUCUUGCUUGCUCGAUUUGGUAGCUUCUUGUGAAGCAUUUGUUGGUGGUUUUGUUAGUGUAUUUGACUUGGUGUUGGAGAUUUGAGCAUUUUGCAUCAUGAUCAUUGGUGUGUUGGCCAUGUUGUUCACUCAUUGGAGUUCACUCAUGAAUUUGUUUCUAGCUUCAUCAUUUGCCAAGUCAAAACAAGCUACCUUCAUGUUGGAGGCGAUAAAUUUGUCUUUUUUAUUAUUUAUUUGAAGAUGAAGGAUUUGAAGAUUGGACUUCCCUCAUCAAGAAUCUUGAUGUGUUCGCUCUAUGGUUCAAUCGUCGCCGAGGUAUAGAAUUGUGAUGUUGCAGCUUCUAAUAACACCAUUUGAGGCUUUACAUUAUGCAGAAUGUUACCUAUAUGUUUGGUUAGGUGUCUAGGAACUUAUUUGUGGUAAUCUGUAACUUUGAGAGCCUUUUAAUGAAAUGCCCAAACCAGCCCAAAAAGGGCAUCCCAAGCUCCCUGCUUCUGUAGGUGCAUGCUCUUCCCCUUUGGGGGGUUGAGAGAGGCCGGGAGAGGAGAUUUGAGGGUGGGGCUUUGUUUUACCAAAUCUGAACAUUAUAGAGUGAAAUCGGAGGGGAUUUAGAGCCUUCGCCAACCUUGUUAGUUCACGCCUCUUGUAUCAUCAUCUUCACAGUGGAUUGCUUGCUCGUCGCCGCCUGUGGUUUUUCCUACAAGGGGUUUCCACAUAAAUCUUAGUCUCUACCUAUGAUUCAGUAUUUAUCUUGCCAUACUUGUUGAUUCAUACCAAUCUUGCUUACAUGGUGUCAUUUCUCCAAGUUCAUGGUGUAUGAUUGAUAUUGACGUAUGAUGCAUACAUGCAUUCUCUUAUAUGUUAAUGAUGGGGAUUGAUGUGUUAGUGAGUUCAUAUUUACAAGUAUACUCAUUAUUGUGAAGUUUGCAUAGCACCAUGUCUGAAGAAUUGAUAAUAUGGGUCUGAUUUGUAUUUUGCACAUAAGGUGUUAGUUGAAAUAUUCAUGAGUAACUAGCUUGCUAAUUUUGAUGUUUCCUCUGCCUCUAUGCGCUUACAAUAAGUUUAUGGAAUAAAUUUUAGAUCCUUAAUUGAUAUUUAUCUUUGGAAAUAGAGGAAGUAAUAAAUGGUCCCAAUUUGCUAGCCACUUGUACAUAGUUAUACUAUAUACAAGCUUAUGCAAGUCAAAAUGUAAAAAACAAGAAGAACCAAGAAACAUGAACAAAAUACAUACAUACACUUAUGCAAGAUGUAGUAUAUAACUUUUAGGACAAUAUUUAUUUUGGCUCUGUUUCACUAGUGGAGUAGCUUUUUCCACUGGUAAAGGUAAAAUUGUUUUAGUUGUUUGGUCAAACAACUUCUCUAAUUCUUAAAAACAAAAAAUGACUAUAAUACUCUUUUUUGGCUGGCCGAGCUUUAAAAUUUUUAUCUUCUUUUUUAUGAAUUCUUCUUUAUGUGGCUACCAUCUGUUUGUCCUCCCCGCUUAUCCCCUGGUGCCCCGACCCGUCCACCUCCGCCUCAGCUUUGCCACCUUCAUCCUCAUCCAGCCACCAGAUGUUUCUCCUCAGUGUUCAUCCCAUGGUCCCCGCCCAUCUCCCACCGGUGACUCCACCCCUCACACCUCAAUGACUCCACCCCGCCCUUGUUACAUCAUUCUUCGUUGUAGUUUUGUUUGCAUCCAAUGACUUCAGUCACCCCCACAACUCUAGCCCCAUGCCACACUUGUCAUGGUGCAUGUAUUUGCCGCACCAUGCCUAUACAAAGAUGGCCCUCAUGACUUGAUGGAAGAGCUAAGCAAAGCCAUUUUUAGCUUCCCUAGAUGUGAGCGCGUGUAAGAUCGUGUUUUCCGAAGUUAGCACGAGGAGUAGCAACAGCUUUCAAGAUGGCAACGGGCCCCGAUCCCCGAUGGGGAUUUCAUCCAUUAGGGGACGAGAACGGGAAAAUUUUGAUCCCCGUAGGGGGACUUCAUGAGAAAGAAGGAUCCUCCAUCAGGUGAAGCGGGGAUGCAAACAUUCUAGGCUUCAUCCUUUAGCCUGACCCAACAAAUGAAAUAGGUCCAGUUUCUAACACCUAAAAAAAUCAUAUAAAAGCAAGAGCAUUUGUAACCCUAGUGAUCCACCAUUGCUUCUAGGCUUCUAGCUGAGUUGUCACUUCCACCGGUCCUCCUCCACUCCUCCUGUAUGCCUCUAAAGUCCAAGCUCAUCCUAUCUCCCUCUCUCCCCUCUACCCUCUGUCUCGCACCAACGACGUUGUGGUGGCGGUGAUGCUUGCGGGCUGUGGCCACAUGCUCUGGUAAGCAAGCACUGCUCUAGGGUUGAACCUGACAACAGCGGAGCCACGGAUGAGGUGUUCAAGGGAAGACGUGAAGGGCAACACCAAGGGGUUUAUCGGGGAUAGAGACCCCGCCGAGUGUGUAAUCUCGGGGACAGGGAUGGGGAAAUCUGGUACCCAGGUGCAGGGAUAGGAACAGGGACGGGGAGCGGGGUGUUUUUCUUUUCUCAUGGUCAAAACGUUCAAGCAAAACCUGACGGGGAUAGCCCCGUUGCCAUCUUUAAACGGCUCUCCUUCACCUGUUCGGUAGACGAACACGUAGACCAACUCUAGGAGCAGUUUGAUUUACAUUUCCUGACGGUUGACGGAGUUAGUAAUUAAUUACGUAAGAGUAGUUGAAGGAGCUUCCCGGCACCAUAUACUUGCGAGUGAUAUGCAGGGGUUACAAUAAUUACAGUUUACAAUGCUCGUCUCUUUAAUUAUGCGACGGGACGUGACGAUGGCCCAGCGGCUCAGCUGCAUGCAUGGAUCAAUCGAUCGAUCGCCAAUUAUCAAAAAAACCAAUCGAUCGACAGCUAGGUAAACUACCAGCUGCGGAUUAUAAAUUAUUCACGCUCAUCAUAUACAUAUAUAAUUAUAUAUACACGUACGUACGCUUCUGAGUACGAGCGACGAAAGUGUGGUGCAAGUGCAGCGUACAUGCCGGUACAGCGGCCAUCAUAUCAAGAUAUGUAUCCAUCUCCUACUACUGUACACAUUUGUAUCCUUACGGAGAUACAGUAUAUCAAGAUCAUCCUCUGACUCACUGCAUAGUCUGCACCGCAUCACGUACGUGCCGAAUACGUACAAGACUGAUUCAUGCUACAUAGUACGUGCGCCACACUCCUCGAUCGAUCGGUACAUCUUCACGUGUCCAUGUUCCUCAUCAACGAAUUAAUGCAUUUGUUUUCACAUGCCGCAUGCAUGAGAGUCGUCGGUCGUGGUGCCACUGUGCACACAUGCUUGAGUCCUUUGCUUUUCCUGUGCUCCAAUUCUUUUUUUCCAUAUACUCUACUCCCCGUCCCAAAAAAAGUGUCGUUUUAGAAUUUCAAACAUCUUAUUUGAUCAUCCAUUUUAUUCAAAAUUUUUACAUAAGUAUUAUAAAUUUUGUUAAGACCUAUUUAUCAUUAGAGAUACUUUACUAAUGAUUUAUUUAUUUUAUAAUUUACACAAAAUUUUUGAAUAAGACGAACGAUCAAACACGAUUUCUAAAAAUAAAAAACGUCACUUUUUUUAGAAUGGAGGGAGUACAUUAUUUUCAGAUGCCCAUCCUAGAGUAUGUAGUACCAUUCCAUGUAACAGCUAGUACCUUGUACCUAGGAUGGAGUACGUACUACUCGUGCUUGCAGUAGCGCGCGAAAGUGGACGACAGCACGCCCAUACGGCCAUCCGCUCACCAUUGUCUACAUCCUAGCUUUCUACGUACGUGUGUACCUGUACAUAUAGUCAUAAACCUAUAUCUACAUUUUUUAAUAAUAAUUUAUAUCCAUACCCUAAUAAUUUUAAUAAUAAUGAAUAAUAAAAGAAGCAAAAAAUUUCCCAUCCCUCCUAUUACUGCUUUAAGUAAAAAAAAAGACCUUCACGGACGCGGCAACACUUGUGUUAGGAUGAAAGAUAGAAAUGAGGCACAGCCAAUCUGUCGUCUUGUGAUGAAUUACGAAAAGAAUAUUUGUCAUCAGAUCAGUAGUAGAAUUAACAAUCACACGUAGAACAGACACAAUGAUUUAUGUGAAAGACCUUUUCAAGGCAAGAAGUAAAAACUAUGGAACCAAACGCUCUACUCCAAGCUUCCACUAUAAGUACAAUGAGUGUAGAAGGAGUUUUAUCUAGGGAAUCUAGAGUUAACCAGCGAUAACACAUUCAUCAAAUUACAAACUUGCCAUCAGUUAGAACCACAACCUUCUAACAAUAAGAGGAAUGACAACAACGAAGUAAAGAACUCAUAUAUUUUGUUCCCCUUUGGUAUCAAUUUAUAUCUCAAACUAUAGCUUUAUUGUGCAUUAAUUUUGAAAUGCAUAUAGAUCCACAAGUCCCCUAGCCACUGAUCAAGUUUUAGCUCAAUUGGACACCAUUUCACCAUCCAAAACAAUCAUCUACCAAAAUUUCUCUCUGUCUUGAAACUUAGUAACCAGAGCUGACAAAACAUACCCUUUCAAAUCUGGUGCUCUAAUCAACCGAUCCUCAAACCAACUGAACAUAUCAAACUAACCUAAUUGAGGAAUGAGCUAACCAAGUUUGGUCCCAAUCCAUCUAUGUUUGAGCCUACAAUCACUGGCUUUAAGAUGGCUGGUUAGAGCCACCAAAUCUCGAUAGAUUUGGUUCUUCUUAUUGUUCCUCCUCUUUGUCUAUCACGUUGUGGUGUUCUUGUGUUUCUCAACACCCCUCUCUUAGCUCCAACAACUAAAGGAAUAAAAGCUAGGGUUUUUAUUUUUAGUUUCCAAUUAAGAUUGAUCUUCACCGUUGGUUCCAACUAAAAUCAACAACUCACAAGAACUAGCCUCAGAGUUAUAUUUUCAGCUGCUUUGCGGAGCUCAAGAUCAUCCUCUAUAUGAAGGGACAGACUAGCACUUGUGUCAUAGCUUGGUCGACUGAGCUUGAGAUCCAACGGUGGGGUGGUGGGGCUCUAGAGCCCCCUCCUACGGCUACUGGACCUAUGGAGUCUCCAUAGGAAUUUUUUAUCAUGGAUGCACUUGAGGAGAGGCUGAAGCUAUCUAAAGGUUUAAAGAAAUCUCCCUAGACAUUUUUGCUAGAUCCGUUCCUAUAUGUGAUACAACCAGUGCAUUCAAUAGCCAGUAGCCACCAAAUCACUAGAAUUUAUUUGAUUUAAUUAAAGUAAAGUUUGGUUCCAACUAAAUUAAUAAAUUUAAUAAAAUGAUUAGUUUAUUAUCAUCUACUUUGGUAGAUCCAGACAAUCGCACGAGAAGUUGUAGGUGUGUACUUGUGUUACAGCACAGCAGCAUAUAUGAGCAUAUUCGUUAUGCCAAUAUUAUACACAAAGAAAAAGAGUCAUGGACGAGGCGGCAAUUGCUGUCGGUGGAUGGCUACCUUUCGGAAGCUAGCCACCGUACACACUCUUUUGGCCGGCCGGCGUCGGCGUGCUGCCAAGUGCAACCUCCCCAACGCUAAGCAGGUAGUGAUAUUAAUGCCGCUGCCGGUGAGGCUCGUCGUCGUCGUCGUCGUCGUCGUCGUGUGACACAAACAAGUCUACCAUCACCCAGAGUGGUCCCGGACACUGUAGGACACGCGUAGUGUAUGUACGCAAUGUCGUCGUCUGCUGCCCUGCUCAACGAUGUGUUCUAACUUUAUUACACGGUACCUGUACGAGGGUAGCAGCAGCUGCUCGGCUGCUGCAGGUGGAUCAUGCACACGCGCGCAACUCCAACACUACCCUAAACUUCACUUGGCAAAUCUUGAAUUUUGCAAAGUGUAAAACUCAAAUGCCAAGUGAAAAAAAGAGGCUUCUGUUAGCUAUUUCUUUUGACAAAUUUGGACUAUCUUGUGAUUCCUGAAAAAAUCAGAGAGACUUUUAUACAAAAGUUGCAAUCUAUUUAAGGCAUGCGUGCAUGCUGAAUGUGUGGGUCCCACCGCGUAGGCAGGAUGCCAAGCGCUCCCAACGCUCUUAAAUUUGAGCCAGUUGGCCCUCUUUUUGCCAAGCAUCCUAUUUUGCCAAGUGCAUAUAGAGUAGUGUUGGAGGAGCUUUUCCAUGUUUUGCCAAAAAUUAGGAUUUGCCAAGUGCAUAUAGGGUAGUGUUGGAGUUGCUCUAAGGACGUCCAGAACAGCCAUCUAAGGUCUCUUUGGUUGGACUUUUGAACCUGCUUUUGCUUUUGUAAAAGCCAAAAUCCAACCAAAGGGCCCAAAAGCCACAAGUGCUUUUGCCCAAAAGCAGCUUUUCUCGUAGUACAAAUCCAAAAGCACCUCACCCCCUGCUUUCACUGACUUCUGGGAUCCGUUCAGUUUUUUUUUCCAAAAGCCACGAGUGACCAACCAAAUGACUUUUGGGUUUCUCAAAGCCCACAUCCCACAGUAGCUUUUCAAAAGCUCAAAGCUCACAGUAGCUUUUCCAAAAGUCACAUCCCAAUCAAACACACCCUAAGGCCUUGUUUAGAUCCAAAUAAUAGAUCUACAGGAUCUACUAGCAAUAGAAAGAACAGGGAUUCGGGAUACAUAAGUAACAUAGACAGUAACAUAAAUAUGCACACUAGAUCUAUUACAUAGGGAAUAGAAACAGGUAGAUCUAGAGUAUAGGGAUUCGACCGUCGUUGGCGGCGGGUGUAGAUCCAGUGGGGUCCAUGGCGAGGGCGUUGACGCGGUGACGGAGUAGAUCCCGUCGUCCUUCGGGCCUCCACCGGCACUGACCGACGACGGCGGGGUAGGAGUAGAAGGGUGACGGCGCGGUGGUGCUUCCCGACGCCACUGCGCACUGUCGAUCGGCGACCUAGGGUUGUGAGUAGGGUUUGGCGGCGCACGACGAACUUCGUGUUGUGUGCCAGUAGCCCCCUACUCCUAUAUUUAUAGCGCAGCGCGUCGGGGGCCCACCAACGAUAGAUCGAUUGGACGCCCCCGAUCAGGGCGCGAUCCAGGGGGAAAGGCCCCAGCCGUUGGGCUGGGCCUGAGAUCAAUAUAACAUUCUCCCUCUUGAUCUCAUCUGUGCUUUCUCGCUUUGUCAACUCACCCCGUCACAAAUCAGUGUAUUGAGCAUGCUUCAUCUUAGCAGUUAUCACUGCUAGAUUAGACAGCCACAAACACUUUUCUGUUUAGAGAUGAAUUCUCGCCUUGGGCCCCUUGCUAUCCAGGAAUCACAGGCUUUCCCUUAAACCCAUGUCGGCUACAUGUUCUCUGAACAUACUGGGCGGUAAGCCUUUCGUAAGCGGAUCCGCUAGCAUCUUUUCUGUGCUUAUAUGUUCAAGACUUAUGAUGUGAUCUCGGAUUUUAUCCUUGACAACAUAAUAUUUUAUGUCAAUGUGCUUGGCGGCAUUGCUUGACUUAUUGUUGUGAGCAUACAACACUGCUGGCUCGUUGUCACAAUACAACUUUAGUGGUUUAUCGAUGCUGUCGACCACCUUUAAACUGGGUAUAAAUUUCUUAAGCCAAUUCACCUGUCCUGAUGCCUCAUAACAAGCAAUAAACUCAGCAUACAUUGUGGACGAUGCAGUGAUUAUUAUUUGUUUUGAGCUCUUCCAUGAUAUGGCUCCUUGCACGAGAGUGAAUAUAUACCCUGAGGUAGACUUUCUAUCAUCUUCCGCGUAAUCAGAAUCUGAAUACCCUACUAUUUGUAGGUCAUCAGAUCUUCUAUAGGUUAACAUAUGAGCCCCUUCGUGCCUUGCAAGUAUCUUAAGAAUUUCUUUACUAGAUUCCAGUGUUCCAUACCAGGAUUACUUUGAUAUCUACCAAGUAGCCCGGUCACAAAAGCCAGGUCCGGGCGUGUGCACACUUGAGCAUACUGUAAGCUUCCGACAGCUGAAGCGUAUGGAACGGCUUGCAUGCAAUCGCGCUCGAACUUGCUCUUGGGACAUUGAUGUUCCCCAUACUUGUCACCUUUUACAAUAGGAGCAGGUGAAGGUCUACACUUAUGCAUAUUGAAUUUCUUCAAUAUUUUCUCUAUAUAUGCCUCUUGGGACAAUCCCAAUACCCCUCGACUUCUAUCUCGGUGAAUCUUUAUGCCCAAGACAAAAGAAGCUUCACCUAAAUCUUUCAUAUCGAAAUUUGAGGACAAAAAUCUCUUGGUUUCCUGUAGUAGAGUGACACCACUACUGGCUAGUAGAAUGUCAUCUACAUACAGUACUAGGAAAAUGUAUUUCCCAUUCUUAAACUUUGCAUAUACGCAAUUGUCCUCAACAUUCUCUUUAAACCCAAACUUUCUGAUUGUCUUAUCAAACUUUAAAUACCACUGCCUGGAUGCUUGCUUUAAUCCAUAAAUGGAUUUCUUCAGGCGACAACCCAUUCUUUCUUUGCUUGUCACAACAAAACCUUUCGGUUGUGCCAUGUAUACUCUUUCUUCUAGAUCCCCAUUGAGGAAAGCUGUCUUCACAUCCAUUUGAUGCAAUUCUAGAUCAAAAUGUGCCACUAGGGCCAUUAUGAUUCUAAAAGAGUCCUUGCUCAAGACGGGAGAGAAUGUUUCAUUAUAAUCUAUCCCUUCUCGCUGAGUAAAACCCUUGGCUACCAGUCUUGCUUUGUACCUUUCUAUGUUCCCUUUGGAGUCACGUUUCACCUUGUAGACCCAUUUGGAGCCUACUGUUUUGGCUCCUUCAAGAAUUUCCUCUAGGUCCCAAACUUUAUUGGUACUCAUAGACUUUAAUUCAUCUUCCAUGGCUUCUUGCCACUUAGAUACUUCGGUGCUCCUCAUGGCUUCUUCAAAUGAAGUGGGUUCAUCCUCCAUCUGAACUUCUUUGCAUUCAUAGACUAUAUAGUCAUCUGGAAUAGGAGACUUUCUCGCUCUUUGAGGUCUACCAGAAGUUUCUGGUACUGGCAUUUCUUCUUGAGGUUGCUCUUGUUGGGGCUGCUGUUCUUCAACUAUGGGUUCAUUCGGCUCCUGAAGGACAAGUUCCGAAUUAGCCAUAGGCGAAAAAGCAGCAGGUGUUGUCACUACUAGUGUAGAUCCAACAACAACAGGCAGCGUAAAGUAGGGUUCUUGCACCAUGGGAAUGGGCACGAACACCCGCUUCUCUGCAAGGGUAAUUUCUCGCGCUGCCUUGCUCCCCCUGAUCAUCUGAUCUUCUAGAAAACUAGCGUGUCUCGGUUCCACAAACUUGGUAUGUCUACCAGGGCAGUAGAAACGAUAACCUUUUGACUUUUCUGGAUAGCCAAUAAAAUGACAACUUACUGUUUUGGGGUCUAGCUUUCCUAUGUUUGGGUUAAAUACUUUUGCUUCAGCAGGGCUCCCCCAGACACGCAAAUGGUUGACUGAGGGUUUCCUGCCGGUCCACAACUCAUACGGUGUUUUAAGUACUGACUUGCUUGGAACUCUGUUGAGAAUAUGAAUGGCGGUUUUUAAGGCCUCCAUCCACAAACUCAAUGCAGAGUGGAAUAGCUCAUCAUGCUGCGCACCAUAUCCAUUAGAGUACGGUGACGCCUUUCUGCUACUCCAUUCUGCUGUGGGUCCCCUGGCAUUGAAUACUGGGCUACUAUGCCAUUUUCCUGUAAGAACCUCGCAAAAGGUCCAGGAACUUGUCCAUAAGGGGUAUGUCGACCGUAGUACUCCCCCCCCCCCCACGGUCAGAUCUUACUACUUUGAUUUUUCUGUCUAGUUGGUUUUGAACCUCAGCCUUGAAUAUCUUAAAUUUGUCUAAAGCUUCUGAGCGUUCUUUGAUUGGAUAGAUAUAUCCAAAACGAGAGUAGUCAUCUGUGAAUGUGAUGAAGGAAUCAAAACCAUCCACAGAUGUCACUGGAAAAGGUCCACAGAUGUCUGUGUGGAUCAAUUCUAGUACUCCUGUGCUUCGCUUAGUGCCUUUCUUUAUGUUCUUUACUAACUUGCCUUUAAUGCAAUCGACGCAUUGCUCUAACUCUGAGAGUUCUAGUGGUGGGAGGAUUGAUUCUUUAACUAAGCGUUCUAUUCUCCCCCUCGAAAUGUGGCCUAAGCGACAGUGCCAUAAUUUCGAUGAGGAAUCAAUUCUCUUUCUUUUCUUGCUAGCAUCUGCGGGUAUUGCAUUCUCAGCAUUAUUACAUUCAGCAUUCACAUUCUCAGACAUAGAUAAUAAAUAAAGUUUGUCUUGUCGGAAGGCAAGACCCACACAUUUAUUAUUUAACUGUAGCUUACAAUCAUUCUUGCUGAAAUGGCAAUCAAAACCAUAGUCUGACAAACAUGAAACUAAAAUUAAAUUUCUAGCUAAAGAGGGGACAUAAAGAACAUCAUGCAACUCAAGUGUGAAGCCACUAGCUAAAUCUAGAGAUAAAUUUCCUAUAGCUUGAACUUCAGCAGCAACACCAGUGGCCACCUUAAUCUGUCUUUCUCAUCUUUGAAGGGUUCUCCCUCCACUGAAUCCCUGCAAAGAGUUUGCAACAUGAACAGUUGCACCUGAGUCAAUCCACCAUGUGGAUCUAGCAUAACUUAGAUAUAAGGAUUCAUCAACAAAAGUUAUAAUGUCCUCACCUUUCACUAGGCAAUGUUUCAUGAACUUAGGGUAUUCAUGCUUCCAAUGCCCUGUCUCAUUACACCAUCUACAGCGAUCCGGGUCCUCCUGCCUGUGCUGGUUGUCUUGCUUUGGCUGUGCUUUUGGCUGUGAAGAGCUUCCUCCCUUGUUCUCGGAGGUGGAGGCAUCUAGAGCUUUCUUGUUGUAGAAUGGUUUCUUGUUCUUUCCUUUCACAAAGUUCACAGAACCACCAUUUGCAUUCUUGAGCCUUUCUUCCUCUUGCACACACAUAGCAAUCACCUUCUCUAAAUCCCACUCCUCUGGCUGUGUGUUGUAGUUAACAACAAAUGUCUCAUACUCUUUAGGAAGUGAGUUUAGAGCUAGGUGAAUGAUGAAACCAUCAGCGAGGGGCAUCUUUAGCUUCUCUAACUUGGCUGCCAUGGUGCUCAUGCUCAGAAUGUGCUCUCUCACACUCCCCCCUGUGAACCUCAUGUUAGUGAGUUUCUGGAUCAGGGUGGAAGCAUGAGCUUUGGUGGAACCAGUAAACUGAUUCUUCACUUUCUCAAGGUAUUCUUUUGCUGUCUCACAUUCUGGGAUGGCACCUCUUAGGCCCUCUGUGAUGGUUUUCUUGAUGACAAUCUUGCAUUUGCGGUUUGACUUUUCCCACUUGUACUUCUCAAGAUCAUACUUUGCUAUGAUGGGAGCAAAGUCUCGCUUCCGAUUAGCAAAAGCUUCAUCGCUCUCAUUCUGAGCCCUUUCGGGCUCCUCUGGCUCAGUGGGCUUUGGCUCCUGAAGAGCCAAAUCUAUCUCAGCAAGUGCUAGAGCUGCAUCAAGUUCCUCGCGCCACAGAACAUAGUUCUGCCCCGUCAGCUUUGGGAUUGCACUGAUGAAGUGCAUCGCAUUCUGCGCUUGGUCUGAAAUUAAAUAUGAGAAAAUAGUGAGAACAUCAACAUUAAAUCUAGGAAAAAUAAUUGCAUAUCUUAAUUUAACGUUGGUCAAAAUCAAGAUAUACAAAAAUUAACUCUCUACAUAAAUUCUAAUCACUGUUGGGCAGAAUAGAAUAAAUACAUAAAAUUAGAACUUGGAAUUUGUAAUAUUGCUAUUAUUAACGUUGGUCAAAAAAUAACAAUAUCACAAAAAUACUAGGCUUUAAAACUCGUGUCUCAAAUUAAAUAUCCCGUUGGUUCAAUUUAAUAUGAGAACGAAAAAAUAACUUGCGCAGCGGAAAACAUUAAUUUAUUUACUAUUUUUAGAAGCAUAACUAGCUAACUGUGCUUUCUAAUUAAUAUACACGUUGGUGCAAAUUAAAUAGAAUUUAAAACUGAGCAAAACAAAUAUUUAAAUGCUUCUGAAAAUUAAAUAGAAUAUAAAAAAGGAGUUACAUUGCUUAAACGGGCCGUGGCCAACCAUUCGGCCCACGACCUCUUGCGGUCCAGCUCGGACGCUGGCCCAGCAGCGCACGGGUGCUUCUGAGUUUUUUUUAUUCUUGGCUGGUGGCACGCGGCCCAGCUAUCGGUUUUCGGCCCAGCCCAACGGCAUGCGUGCACGCGGGCGCUUGGCGGGCCGCAACCUGGGCCGGUGGCGCGCAUUCGGCCCAGCGCCGAAACCCGCCUGGGCUCAUUCUAGCCCAGCAGCCGCUGGUCGUCCGAUUUGCGGCCGUCGCGAUCGGACGGUAGAGUGCGCAGGUCGGAGGCAUAAAAGCCGCCGGCGCCAGGCUCUCUCUCCCAAACCCUAGUUUCUUUCUCCUUUGCUUCCUUCCUGACUCAGCAGCCGACGGCGCCGGCGCAGGAGCCAGACAGCCGCGGCAAGGGCCUCGCCGGCGCCGGUGAAGACGCCGUCGUUUCGGCCGCUCCCUUUCUCCUUUCUGUGCUUUCUUUUGCUUUUUCUCUCUCCAGUCCACUUGCGCCCAGCUGUAGAGAAGGACGCAGUGCUUUGCCGGCCGGAAAGAGUGGCGCCGCCGCGGUUCCUAUCGCCGGAGCGCGCGCUUCCCGUGGUGGGUGAGCGCGCCGCCGUCGAUAAGAGUCGCGAUGGUGCCCUGCGCUUGGCCCCCAUGCGGGAUUCCUCCCUGGUUUUGACCACCCCGGCCGCUAUGGUCGUGAGGCCGGGAUGGGCUAGCGCCCAGGUAGGGUGUUCCUUUAUUCUUUGUUGUUUGAUCUAUGCUUUUAGGGUUAGGAAAUCCCUUUUCUCGAUCUUUCGCGUUUGGAUCUGGGCGCUAGGUUUAGGGUUUGGGAAAAAAAAUAAAUCCUCUCCUUCUACUUGCUGGGCUUGUUGGGUAAAUCCCGAAAACCCCGAUCUAUUACUAGAUCGGCUGAUACCAUUGAUAGAUCUACAGGAUCUACUAGCAAUAGAAAGAACAGGGAUUCGGGAUACAUAAGUAACAUAGACAGUAACGUAAAUAUGCACACUAGAUCUAUUACAUAGGGAAUAGAAAUAGGUAGAUCUAGAGUAUAGGGUUUUGACCGUCGUUGGUGGCGGGUGCAGAUCCAGUGGGGCCCAUGGCGAGGGCGUUGACGCGGUGACGGAUUAGAUCCCGUCGUCCUUCGGGCCUCCAUCGGCACUGACCGACGACGGCGGGGUAGGAGUAGAAGGGUGACGGCGCGGUGGUGCUUCCCGACGCCACUGCACACUGUCGAUCGGCGACCUAGGGUUGUGAGUAGGGUUUGGCGGCGCACGACGAACUUCGUGUUGUGUGCCAGUAGCCCCCUACUCCUAUAUUUAUAGCGCAGCGCGUCGGGGGCCCACCAACCAUAGAUCGAUUGGGCGCCCCCGAUCAGGGCGCGAUCCAGGGGGAAAGGCCCCAGCCGUUGGGCUGGGCCUGAGAUCAAUCUAACACCAAAAAGUUUUUGGAUUUUGAGAUUAUAGCAUUUUUAUUUUUAUUUGACAAAUAUUGUUCAAUCAUAAAGUAACUAAGUUUAAAAGAUUUGUCUAGCGACUUACAGACAAACUGUACAAUUAGUUUUUGUUUUCAUCUAUAUUUAAUGCUCCAUGCAUGUGCCACCAGAUUCAAUGUAACGGAGAAUCUUGAAAAGUUUUUGGUUUUUAGGGUGAACUAAACAAGGCCUAAAUAACUAGUAGAUACAUAGUAUUUUAUUUCACAUGGAGGAAAGAGAACGUGAAAACUGAGGCCUUGUUUAGUUUCAAUUUUUUUUGCAAAAUAGAUACUGUGGCACAUUCGUUUGUAUUUGACAAAUAUUAUCCGAUCAUGAACUAAUUAGGAUCAAAAGAUUUGUCUCGCAAAUUACAAUUAGGGUUUUAUAAAUGCAUUCCCCCCAUCAACCUUUAUACUCACUUUGGCUUCCCCUUUUAUAGGACACUAUUACUUGGGGAAACCAGUUUACACUCCUAUCCUACGACACAGCGGCUAUGGUACAUUAAUGGAAUACGCUUAGCCACAAACAUAAUUUUAGGGUUACUUUGGGGCAUUCCACCUUGGCAACCGCCUUAAUUCAUGGGCCUUUUCUAGUGCCCACAGAGGCCCAUCUAUCACCUCAAGUUCUAGGCACCGUAGGGGCCUUCUCGUCAGCCUUCACUAGAAAAGCCCCGCCUUCCGCCGCGAUCUGGGCUCAUGCUACUCUGGACCUUCACUGCUACACUACCACCUUCGCCUUGUGCUCCAUCCAAGGAGGGUUCCGUGAUGCCUUUGCCCCUCAGAGCGGGACCUUCGCCAAUGUCGAGGGUGCGGGCGAAGGCUCCUGUCUUUGUUCCUGCCAAUCAAUGAUCAUGUUUCGUGCAUUGUUAGUCUUUUUUCGCUGGUGUAUCCCCUAGCUGCCAUAGCUCAUAGUUCCAUGUCCCAACAAUGUCUAAGAGCAAUUUCACUAGGAACCCUUAAAUUAGGGUUCCCACUUUUGAUUCGAGGGUUAUUCAACUUUUAAGUUUUUUUUGCAUCUAUUGUAACAACUCUCAAAUCCAUUUCAGUAGUCACGGAGACACAAACACAUGAGAUUCACUCGCCAUUCUCUUCCUAUGACCAUAACUACCUUCGCUCCAAUCAACUAAGCUAUGACUGACACGGGGUGGAGCAGCAGUAACCUCAUUAGGGAGGGGUUUGUGCCAAGGGCAGAGGAGCCGAUGAUGAGAGAGUAGCCACGUUGGGGACUGACCUUGUAAGAAUAGGGAAGGACCUCACUAGGGGAUGGGACAAGCACUAGGGAGAGGAGUCACGCUAGGGGAUCGAGGAUGGGGUAAUAAGGGUCUCGUUGGGACGGGGAAGGACCUCACUAGGGGACAAGACAGGAGCUAGGGAGAGGAGCCACAACGGGGAAGGAUCUCACACAUAGGCGGACAAACCUCACUGUGAGAGCCACGCUACAAGGAGGGAGACCCCUUAGGAAGGGGCACGCCGCUAUAGGGAGGGGAGUCACACCACUAAGGUGAGGGGCCUCAUCAGGGAGAGCCGCACCAAGGGAAGGACCUCCUAGGGACGGUGGAGCAUGCAAGCAACAUCGGAUGUGGAUAGAUGGACACUAUCCUCUUGCAUGCUAGGAGGAAAACGAUAACAAGUGUCAGUUGAGGGCCUAGAGUAGGGUCCCAAGAAAAUGAGGACUAGGAGGAAAAUUUGAGGGGCCUAUGAGUUUUUUUUUCUAGUCAUCAAAUUUGGUUUUGAGGGGUCAAGUAGGUGUCCUGCUAGAGAAGGCACCUCUAAUAAUAGUGAGAGUUAGAUAUCGACUCUUAGAUCCAUCUCAUUCAUAUGUUUUAUUUAUAUAUUCUCUCGUGUCAAGAGAGAGAGAUAAUUCAAGUCUCUCAUACAUUUUAGUACGUGCAAAGAGCUCGGCUUUUCUCAACUUCUCUCCACGCUAGUUCCACGCUAGUUCAAAGGUUUUUGGCCUCUCUCCCCUUUGUGUGGUAUCUGAUACUAGCUUAGAGCAAGUCCAAGAGAAGAGCUAUCCAUAUCAUGUAUUCUAUAUUUGGCUAUUUUGGGAGAGAAAAGAGAGUCCAACAGCUAUUGUAUUUGGUUUGCUAAAAUAGCAAGUCAUCUAUCCCGGAGUUCUCGUAUGGUAAAUAUAGCUUGCAUGUCCUGCUAGCCAUAUGAUUUGCCGUAUAGAAAGACCGUUGGAGAUUUUUAUUUUUUUACAUGAUUUUCUAUUUUAGAGGUUGGCUAAAUUUUGAAUUUAGCCAUCUAUUUUUAUCAACUCUCUUAGAGUUGCUCUUAGAGUUGUCCAAUAGAGAUGCCCUUAGCUAGCUCCCAAUUUAGAAUAUACCUAGACUAGAUCGAUAUCAGGCUUGAGAACGCAUAAUAGUUAGAUAUUUAUACCUAGUAGAUCGUUGGGUUUUAAACAAUACCAUACCUUUUUUUUGAGGGGAAAACGAUACCAUACGUGAAAUGGCUCACAUGAAUAUUAGGCCCGAAAACGGUUAUUGGCUAAACAGAAUUGGGCCUUAAAUGGGCGAUUAAAACAGCAAUGAUGCCUCCGUAGACUAGGAAUCGCAUAGACAAAAAGCUGUGACAUGCAUAUGCCUCGGGUGGGCUAUAAACAGGCCUGCGAUGCAGGCCUAUACACAGCCCAAUUUUUUUUGUGAACAAUACACAGCCCAAUUUGUGUACGUACAAGUGCCGGUUGCUUUUUCAGUUUCUUGCCCCAUGGGAAGCAUUCCCCAAUCGAAUCAUCACGUACGUACUUGACUCUGAUCCAUCAUAACACUUGGUGUCCACUAUGCACGCUCGUAGGCAUUGUUUACUUCCACCCAAAAUCUAAAAUUUUUUCAAGAUUUCGCGUCACAUCGAAUCUUUAGACGUAUGCAUGGAGUAUUAAAUAUAAACGAAAUUAAAAACUAAUUGCACAGUUUGAUCGAAAUUUACGAGACGAAUCAUUUGAGCCUAGUUAGUCCAUAAUUAAACAAUAAUUAUCAUAAACAAACAAAAGUGCUACAGUGUACCGAAAAAAUUUCGGCAAGGAACUAAACAAGGCCGUAGUAUGCUGUUAUAUGAUGGAAUCUAAAGAGCCCCAUUUUCUCUUUUAUCUUACCCUCCAGAUCGAGGCCACAAAAUCCUAGGUACAGAACAUCGUCUGUCAGAUGCAUCUGGUUGCAGCAAAGAUCCACACACAUUACAUAGAAUACGUGCACAGCACCAAAUGCAUGCAACGGCAACAUAUGCAUGCAGCACAAUUAGUUGUACAGUUUCCAUGAUUUACAAGCAAGUCCGGAUUCUUUUACUUCAGUAAACCAUCCUCAUAUUGCAAUGAUGGCAUGAUGCAUAUAUAGAGCGGGAGUGGUUAAGGUCGAUGAAUAAUGAAUCACUGAUGAAGCAGGGCAGACAAGGACACGGCAGCGGCGGCAGAGGCACACUGAGCCCACACAGAUGAAAUGAGCAAAUAUAUAGUACGUCGCGUGUAUAUGUUACUAUAUCUUAUUACUUGAACACAUCACUCUCAUGACUCAUGGAUGGAAAACAUCAUGCAUACAGUACAAUAUAUAAUGGACACAAAAGCUAGUAGUAUUCAUUAUUCAGGAAACCUGUGUGCUAAAGCAACAAGGUUAAAGGCAAGCAAACCCCCAAGGACGACGUUGAGUGCUGCUUUGCUAGCCUGCUACACACACACACACGUACGAUCGAGGUACACGACGACAGCCACAGCGACGACAGAGUUGGUGUAAACUCAAGGUAGUAAACAGUAAAUACUAAUUAAACGGAGUGAUCACUAACAGGUACGGUGCAUGCAUGAUCUACUCCUUAAUUUAUGUAUCUAUCUCAUUGCAUGCAUCAUCCAUGGAGGGAGUCAUGGACGACAUCUGGUAAAACAACGACGACUGCAUGCUGAUCGCCAUCCAACGAGCAUGCCUCAUGCAUGUCCUUAUGAUCGAUCAUCAGUUGAUCCUGCACGUACAUAACAUGAAAGAUAUCAAAUCAUGGUUAUCACACUCGAUCAUUAGCAGAAAAUCACUCAUAAUCACUGUGCAUUCAUGCAUGCAUGGACGACAUAUUUAAUCAAUUGGACAGGGUGAAAAACUCAGCCUAGGAGGCGUCGUACUUGGAGCAGUCGACGUUGGGACUAAUGGGCACGCCGACGGAGACGCCGCACUUGGAGGGGAUGCUGGCGGCGUUACCCAUGCUGACGCCGCCGCCGCCGCCGAGCCUGCUCGUCAUGCUCUUGAGGCAGGCGCAG
rnacentral:lncRNA from 1 species